rnacentral:lncRNA from 1 species
CGGUUUUUAAUUGUGGCACUCAAGACUUUCAGUUUUGGUGAGUUUAGCCACUCUAUUUUCGGUUGCCAUGAUCAUUUUGGCUCUCUUCUUUUCCUCUAGAGGCCGAAUAGUGCUAGGGAGGUUUGGGAGUAUCAUUCAUUUUUGCUAAUUUCAGUUUUCACAUCUGUUCAGGAUCCUCAUUCGUCAUUUUGCUCUUCUUUUCCCCUCUAUUUAGCUCAAUUCUCUCUUUCCCCUCUCUCAAUUCAUUUGAGAUUACCAACCCUCCUCUUCAGCAUCUUGUGCUUAGACCGAU